CUCAGCAGAGCUACAGAGUAAAAAUUGUGGAAUGUCGGUGUUGGGUGGAAUGUUCUGUGAGUAUCUCAUGUAGUUUCUUGGUUAAUACUGUGUAAAUCUUGUAUAUUUUUACCGUGUUUUUGUGUACUUGUUCUGGGAAUUGUUUCUAGAAAAAUAUUUCCAUUUCCAGUUAUNNNNNNNNNNNNNNNNNNUUAUCUUUGACUGCUGUUCUCAACCACGUAGUGCGCCAGUCAUCACUGGUAGCAAAGAUUUACAGAAUGUCAACAUCACACUGUGCAUCCUCUUCCAGCCCGUCACUAGCCAGCUUCCUCACAUCUUCACCAGCAUUGGAGAGGACUAUGAUGAGUGUGUGCUGCCAUUCAUUACCACGGAGAUCCUCAAGUCACUGGUGGCUCGCUUU
rnacentral:lncRNA from 1 species